CUGUCCACGGGGAAGUCCUGUCAUUUUAGAGAAGAACAAAGAUCUCCUCCAAGAAAACAAUAUAUCUCUUUUUCUGAUUUUAAGCAACAUGAUUAUGCUGUCCGUUGCCCAGGGCUUCAGGUACGUGGAAGUAGCUGUCUCAUAGAGCAAAACCACCACCACAGUCAGGUGGGCUGCACACAUUGACCAUCCACUGAGCUGAUUCUUAGGAUGUUGGAGAGGAUGAAUGCAUAAGAGAUACAAAUGAGGAGCAUUGGCAUCGGAAGAAGCAGCACGCUGACCACCAGCAUGAUUAACUGCACCUUGGAAGCAUCCACACAAACCAGUUUCAAGACACCCAGAAUUUCACAAGUGAAAUCAUCGUUGAUGCUAUUUCCACAGAGAUACUGAUGCAGCACAGACAUGGUUUCCAUCAGGGCAGUGAGGCAGCCUGUCACCAAGGAGACACUUGCAAUCUGUACACAAAGCCUCUUGUUCAUGAUGACAGGAUAUAUCAGGGGGUUUCAGAUGACGACAUACUGAGCACACGCCAUCAUGGACAUGAGCACACACUCAGUGGAGUCCACAGCAAGAGAAAAGUACAUCUGAGUGGCACAUUUUGAGAUUGAGAUGAUAUUUUUCCCUGAAACAAAGUUUGCCAGCAUUGGAGUGAGAGCAGAAGAGGUGUACCAGAUGUCCAGAACGGAGAGGUUGCUGAGGAAGAAGUACAUGGGUUACAUCACAAUCCCUGAAGAAGUAAUACAUUGGAGUGAGUGCUGGAUUUAAAGUAAAACAGUUGUGGAUUGGACCUCAGUUCAACUAUUGAUUAGCCAGGAGAUCUUAUAUAGUAUAUAGUUGCGGUAUAUUAAUUGCCUUAAUGACCUAAAUUGUUCACAUCUUUCUAGGUCCACCUAUUCUGAUUUUGCCUCUCAGCAUGUGACUUGAUUUGGUCACUGGGCAUUUUCAAAUAUAAUGCAAGCAGAGACCUGUAAAGCAUUUACAUAAUUAGAUUAGCCCUCUCUCUUCCAUCUGUACUGUUGUUCAUGAGAAUACGUCCACAUUAGCCAACUAGAGGAUGAAAUGCACAUUAAGCAGAACUGAGUUGUCCCAGUUGCCAAAUCCAAGGUCAUCAUAGGUGAGCCAGUGGUCAAUCAAUUCCCAACAAAUAAGUGAGCCUAGAAACAAUCAACGAGCCAACUUGUAGCUGAUUUGAGAUGCAAGGAUAAUCUAGUUGAGAUCACCUGGCUUCAGCCCAG
rnacentral:lncRNA from 1 species